AAAGUUUUAGGGUCUGAAGAAAGUGUUUCAUUCUCUUCCAUCCUCCUUUCUCGGCUGCUCCCCUGCGUUUCUCACUCUCCCUUUUCUUUGCCUCCGCCGCAACUCCUUCGUCCAUCGAUUUCAGUAACUGUACAGUUUCAUUCUUCAGACUUUCAAGUGUAUGAUGUCGUUUCUAAGGUCUAUACUGCGAGCAACAACUCAUCACCGUUCAUCACUCAAAACACACAUUCGUCCCUUUAGCAAUCUACCAGAAAACACAGUAUAUUCAGGACCCAAACAACAAAACCAAAGAGUAACACUAUCACAAUUAAGACUUAAACAUCGAAACUCACAACCAAUCACAAUGGUCACUGCUUACGAUUACCCUUCUGCUGUUCACCUUGAUAUAGCAAACAUUGAUAUCUGUCUUGUUGGUGAUUCUGCUUCCAUGGUUGUUCAUGGUCAUGAUACUACCUUACCCAUUACUCUCGAUGAAAUGCUUGUUCAUUGUCGUGCUGUUGCUCGUGGUGCUAAAACUCCUCUUCUUGUUGGUGACUUGCCUUUUGGUACCUAUGAAUGUAGUUCUAAACAGGCAGUUGAUGCGGCGGUUCGGAUUUUGAAAGAAGGGGGAAUGGAUGCAAUUAAAUUGGAAGGAGGUUCACCUUCAAGAAUUGUUGCAGCAAAAGCUAUUGUUGAAGCUGGAAUAGCUGUGAUAGGGCAUGUUGGUCUUACUCCUCAAGCCAUUAGUGUUUUAGGAGGAUUUAGGCCUCAAGGAAGGAAUGUUGCUAGUGCUGUCAAGGUUGUGGAGACUGCGUUGGCUUUGCAAGAAGCAGGGUGUUUUGCUGUUGUUCUAGAAUGUGUGCCUGCACCAGUGGCUGCCGCAGCAACCGCAGCGCUUCAAAUUCCUACAAUUGGAAUUGGGGCUGGACCCUAUUGUAGUGGACAGGUGCUUGUUUACCAUGAUCUUCUUGGUAUGUUACAACACCCCCACCAUGCAAAGGUUACUCCAAAAUUUUGUAAACAAUAUGCUCGUGUCGGAGAUGUCAUCAAUAAAGCCUUACUGGAUUAUAAGGAAGAUGUGACAAAUGGUUCAUUUCCUGAUGCUCUCCAUAGUCCAUAUAAAAUCAGUGAAACUGAUGCUAAUGGUUUCUUAAGUGAGCUGCAAAAGUUAGGUUUUGACAAGGCAGCAUCUGCGGCGUCUGAAGCAGUUCAGAAGAUGGUUACAAAAUCAACAAAGUGACAAUUUAAUAAAUCUACAGAUUCCUCUUCCAUUUUUCAUUUGAGGUUCUUCUUCUUUUCUUCAAUGACCGAAUAAAUUGAAGGAUGCAGUUGAUGCGGCGGUUCGGAUUUCAAAAGAAGGGGGAAAUGGAUGCAAUUAAAUUUGUAGGAGGUUCACCUUCAAGAAUUGUUGCAGCAAAAGCUAUUGUUGAAGCCGGAAUAGCUGUGAUAGGGCAUGUUGGUCUUACUCCUCAAGCCAUUAGUGUUUUAGGAGGAUUUAGGCCUCAAGGAAGGAAUGUUGCUAGUGCUGUCAAGGUUUAUAUCUCUAUUUUUUCAUGCAUGAUCCAAUUUUUACGUAUCCUAAAAUGAAUUU